UGGGGAAUUUUGGACAAUGGGCGAAAGCCUGAUCCAGCAAUGCCGCGUGUGUGAAGAAGGCCUUCGGGUUGUAAAGCACUUUUGUCCGGAAAGAAAUCCUUGGCUCUAAUACAGUCGGGGGAUGACGGUACCGGAAGAAUAAGCACCGGCUAACUACGUGCCAGCAGCCGCGGUAAUACGUAGGGUGCAAGCGUUAAUCGGAAUUACUGGGCGUAAAGCGUGCGCAGGCGGUUUGCUAAGACCGAUGUGAAAUCCCCGGGCUCAACCUGGGAACUGCAUUGGUGACUGGCAGGCUAGAGUAUGGCAGAGGGGGGUAGAAUUCCACGUGUAGCAGUGAAAUGCGUAGAGAUGUGGAGGAAUACCGAUGGCGAAGGCAGCCCCCUGGGCCAAUACUGACGCUCAUGCACGAAAAGCGUGGGGAGCAAAACAGGAUUAGAUACCCCUGGUAGUCCACGCCCUAAAACGAUGUCAACUAGUUGUUGGGGAUUCAUUUCCUUAGUAACGUAGCUAACGCGUGAAGUUGACCGCCUGGGGAGUACGGUCGCAAGAUUAAAACUCAAAUGAAUUGACGGGGUCAUAGCUGUUUCCU
rnacentral:rRNA from 1 species